rnacentral:rRNA from 1 species
UACAGAGGUCUCAAGCGUUGUUCGGAUUCAUUGGGCGUAAAGGGUGUGUAGGUGGCGCCGUAAGUCGGGUGUGAAAUUUCGGAGCUUAACUCCGAAACUGCAUUCGAUACUGCGGUGCUUGAGGACUGGAGAGGAGACUGGAAUUUACGGUGUAGCAGUGAAAUGCGUAGAUAUCGAUAAGGAAGACCAGUGGCGAAGGCGGGUCUCUGGGCCGUAACUGACGCUGAGGAGCGAAAGCGUGGGGAGCGAACAGG